UCGAACGGUACAGGACUAGCUUGCUAGUUGCUGACGAGUGGCGGACGGGUGAGUAACGCGUAGGAAUCUGCCCAUCUGAGGGGGAUACCAGUUGGAAACGACUGUUAAUACCGCAUAGUAUCUGUGGAUUAAAGGUGGCUUUUGGGCUGUCGCAGAUGGAUGAGCCUGCGUUGGAUUAGCUAGUUGGUGGGGUAAGGGCCUACCAAGGCUACGAUCCAUAGCUGAUUUGAGAGGAUGAUCAGCCACAUUGGGACUGAGACACGGCCCAAACUCCUACGGGAGGCAGCAGUGAGGAAUAUUGGACAAUGGGGGCAACCCUGAUCCAGCAAUGCCAUGUGUGUGAAGAAGGCCUUAGGGUUGUAAAGCACUUUAGUUGGGGAAGAAAGCUUUGAGGUUAAUAGCCUUGAGGAAGGACGUUACCCAAAGAAUAAGCACCGGCUAACUCCGUGCCAGCAGCCGCGGUAAUACGGGGGAUGCAAGCGUUAAUCGGAAUUACUGGGCGUAAAGGGUCUGUAGGUGGUUUGUUAAGUCAGAUGUGAAAGCCCAGGGCUCAACCUUGGAACUGCAUUUGAUACUGGCAAACUAGAGUACGGUAGAGGAAUGGGGAAUUUCUGGUGUAGCGGUGAAAUGCGUAGAGAUCAGAAGGAACACCAAUGGCGAAGGCAACAUUCUGGACCGAUACUGACACUGAGGGACGAAAGCGUGGGGAUCAAACAGGAUUAGAUACCCUGGUAGUCCACGCUGUAAACGAUGAGUACUAGCUGUUGGAGUCGGUGUAAAGGCUCUAGUGGCGCACGUAACGCGAUAAGUACUCCGCCUGGGGACUACGGCCGCAAGGCUAAAACUCAAAGGAAUUGACGGGGACCCGCACAAGCGGUGGAGCAUGUGGUUUAAUUCGAUGCAACGCGAAGAACCUUACCUGGUCUUGACAUCCUGCGAGCUUUCUAGAGAUAGAUUGGUGCCUUCGGGAACGCAGUGACAGGUGCUGCACGGCUGUCGUCAGCUCGUGUUGUGAAAUGUUGGGUUAAGUCCCGCAACGAGCGCAACCCCUAUUGAUAGUUACCAUCAUUAAGUUGGGUACUCUAUUGAGACUGCCGCUGACAAGGCGGAGGAAGGUGGGGACGACGUCAAGUCAUCAUGGCCCUUACGACCAGGGCUAC
rnacentral:rRNA from 1 species